rnacentral:SRP_RNA from 1 species
GCCGGGCGUGGUGGCUCACGCCUGUAAUCCCAGCAUUUUGGGAGGCCGAGGUGGGUGGAUCACCUGAGGUCGGGAGUUUAAGACCAGCCUGACCAACAUGGAGAAAUCCCGUCUCUG